rnacentral:rRNA from 1 species
UAUGAAAGCAAAAAAUUAUGGCGGUAUUUUAAGCUUUUCAGAGGAAUUUGCUCUUUAAUGGAUAAAACACCAAAAUCUUACUUAGAUUUGUGAUUUCAAUUUGUAUACCACUAUUAAAACAAUUUAUAACUUUAAUUGUUUAAAUUUACAAAACUAAAAUAUAUUAAGUCAAGGUGCAGUAAAAAUUUAAGGAUGAAGUGAAUUACAUUACUUUUUAGUGAGAUAAGUUUAUAACAGUAUUUAGGAUUUGAAAGUAAAAUUAAAAU